AGGUACAUACAGGUCUUUACAGGGGUACUUGCAGUCUACAUGCUCUUUAAAGCUUUGGCAAGGUGUGGUUUCUGUCUGGUCUCUGUCCUCCUGCAGGUCUUCUUCUGACCACUGCAGUCUUCAGACUCUAAACUCUCACUAAGAGGAGUUCAGGGGCAGAGCUGCAGGAGAUCAUGCGGAGGCGUCAGGAGAAGCUGUCGGUCACAGCCUGUGACUCAGGGGUGGGAGUCAUCUGACGAGUGCAGCAGCCACUGAACCCUCCGGGCCUCGCCCACCUCCCUCGUGACCACGCCCCUUUACGUUGUCACGGUUUCUGUUUCCAGGACGCCACGGAGCGCGCCCGGUUCGCUGAGAUCCUGAGACGACGUCAGCAGCUUCUGGAGCAGUCACCUUAGUAGCGAAGCAACACCAGACAGACAGACUGGAGGGGUCAACAUGGACUACAGCACACAGAGUGAGCAUCCCAGCUGGGGAUGCCUGAUGACCUGUGGAUUUAUACACUUUCACUUCAAUGAACUAUUGUUUCUGAUUCAAAUGUGUCCGUUAUGUCUUGCACAGGAUGCUGGGAAAAAUAGAAGGAGAAAAUAGUUUCAACCUACACCUCAUUGGACCAGAGUUGUCCUAGUUACAGGUGGGGGUGUGUAGGAUAACACUGGACACAGAAUGGAUCAGGUGUGGUCUCGACCUACAGACGAAAUAGAACCGACCAAAAUAACCAUCGUCUGUGUAUUGAUUCUGAUCUACAGUAUUUCAGUUAUGAAUGAUAAGAUGUUUAUAAUAACCAAAUGUUGAAUAUAAUCAUUAUUGUGUAAAUCUUCUGGUUUACUGGUAAAGAGAAUAAUAUUAUAUUUAUGUAUAUAUCCUCUUUUAUGUUAUGGUAAUAUGCCAAAAUAGUAACUUGACAUAUAAAUGACAUUGGUCAAAUGAAUUUCA